rnacentral:rRNA from 1 species
AUUGACGCUCAGGUGCGAAAGCGUGGGGAGCAAACAGGAUUAGAUACCCUGGUAGUUCACGCCGUAAACGAUGUUGACUUGGAGGUUGUGCCCCUGAGGCGUGGCUUUCGGAGCUAACGCGUUAAGUCGACCGCAUGGGGAGUACGGCCGCAAGGUUAAAACUCAAAUGAAUUGACGGGGGCCCGCACAAGCGGUGGAGCAUGUGGUUUAAUUCGAUGCAACGCGAAGAACCUUACCUGGUCUUGACAUCCACGGAAGUUUUCAGAGAUGAGAAUGUGCCUUCGGGAACCGUGAGACAGGUGCUGCAUGGCUGUCGUCAGCUCGUGUUGUGAAAUGUUGGGUUAAGUCCCGCAACGAGCGCAACCCUUAUCCUUUGUUGCCAGCGGUCCGGCCGGGAACUCAAAGGAGACUGCCAGUGAUAAACUGGAGGAAGGUGGGGAUGAGGUCAAGUCAUCAUGGCCCUUACGACCAGGGGUACUCUCGUGCUACAAUGGCGCAUUCAAAGAGAAGAGACCUCGCGAGAGCAAGCGGACCUCAUAAAUUGCGUCGUAGUCCGGAUUGGAGUCUGCAACUCGACUCCAUGAAGUCGGAAUCUCUAGUAAUCGUGGAUCAGAAUUCCACGGUGAAUUCGUUCCCGGGCGUUGUACACACCGCCCGUCACUCCAUGGGAGUGGGUUGCAAAAGAAGUAGGUAGCUUAACCUUCGGGAGGGCGCUUACCACUUUGUGA